rnacentral:rRNA from 1 species
AGUGAACGCUGGCGGUAGGCCUAACACAUGCAAGUCGAACGGCAGCACAGUAAGAGCUUGCUCUUACGGGUGGCGAGUGGCGGACGGGUGAGGAAUACAUCGGAAUCUACUUUUUCGUGGGGGAUAACGUGGGGAAACUUACGCUAAUACCGCAUACGACCUACGGGUGAAAGCAGGGGAUCUUCGGACCUUGCGCGAUUGAAUGAGCCGAUGUCGGAUUAGCUAGUUGGCGGGGUAAAGGCCCACCAAGGCGACGAUCCGUAGCUGGUCUGAGAGGAUGAUCAGCCACACUGGAACUGAGACACGGUCCAGACUCCUACGGGAGGCAGCAGUGGGGAAUAUUGGACAAUGGGCGCAAGCCUGAUCCAGCCAUACCGCGUGGGUGAAGAAGGCCUUCGGGUUGUAAAGCCCUUUUGUUGGGAAAGAAAAGCAGCAGGUUAAUAACCCGCUGUUCUGACGGUACCCAAAGAAUAAGCACCGGCUAACUUCGUG